rnacentral:misc_RNA from 1 species
GAUGAAGAACGCAGCGAAAUGCGAUAAGUAAUGCGAAUUGCAGAAUUCAGUGAGUCAUCGAAUCUUUGAACGCACAUUGCGCCAUGUGGUAUUCCGCAGGGCAUGCCUGUUCGAGCGUCAUUUCAACCCUCAAGCUCUGCUUGGUGUUGGGCCACGCCCCCGCGGCCGGCCCCAAAGCUAGUGGCGGUGCCGUCUGGCUCUAAGCGUAGUACAUCUCUCGCUCUAGGGCCCGGCGGUUGCUUGCCAGAACCCACACUCUUAUGGUUGACCUCGGAUCAGGUAGGGAUUCCCGCUGAACUUAAGCAUAUCAAUAAGCGGAGGA